rnacentral:rRNA from 1 species
GUGCCAGCAGCCGCGGUAAUACGUAGGGUGCAAGCGUUGUCCGGAUUUAUUGGGCGUAAAGAGCUCGUAGGCGGUUAGUCGCGUCGGAUGUGAAAACCCAGUGCUUAACACUGGGCCUGCAUUAGAUACGGGCUGACUAGAGUGUUGUAGGGGAGACUGGAACUCCUGGUGUAGCGGUGAAAUGCGCAGAUAUCAGGAAGAACACCGGUGGCGAAGGCGGGUCUCUGGGCAACUACUGACGCUGAGGAGCGAAAGCGUGGGGAGCAAACAGGAUUAGAUACCCUAGUAGUCCACGCCGUAAACGGUGGGCGCUAGGUGUGGGGAACAUUCCACGUUCUCCGUGCCGCAGCUAACGCAUUAAGCGCCCCGCCUGGGGAGUACGGCCGCGAGGCUAAAACUCAAAUGAAUUGACGG